UACGUAGGGUGCGAGCGUUGUCCGGACUUAUUGGGCGUAAAGAGCUCGUAGGCGGUGUGUCGCGUCGGCCGUGAAAACCUGCAGCUUAACUGUGGGCUUGCGGUCGAUACGGGCAUCACUGGAGUUCGGCAGGGGAGACUGGAAUUCCUGGUGUAGCGGUGAAAUGCGCAGAUAUCAGGAGGAACACCGGUGGCGAAGGCGGGUCUCUGGGCCGAUACUGACGCUGAGGAGCGAAAGCGUGGGGAGCGAACAGG
rnacentral:rRNA from 1 species